rnacentral:rRNA from 1 species
CCUACGGGUGGCUGCAGUAAGGAAUAUUGCUCAAUGGGAGAAAUCCUGAAGCAGCAACGCCGCGUGGAGGAUGAAGGGUUUUUAACUUGUAAACUCCUGUAAAGAAGGAAAAAAUUCCCAUUAGAUGGGAAAUGAUGGUACUUCUGGAGUAAGCCCCGGCUAACUACGUGCCAGCAGCCGCGGUAAUACGUAGGGGGCAAGCGUUGUCCGGAUUUACUGGGUGUAAAGGGUGCUCAGGCGGAUUUGUAAGUCAGAGGUGAAAUCUCACAGCUUAACUGUGAAACUGCUUUGAUACUGCAAGCCUAGAGUAUGGAAGAGAGUGAUGGAAUAUCUGGUGUAGCAGUGAAAUGCGUAGAUAUCAGAUAGAACACCAAUGGCGAAGGCAGUCACUUGGUCCAUAACUGACGCUAAAGCACGAAAGCGUGGGUAGCAAACAGGAUUAGAUACCCCUGUAGUC